rnacentral:rRNA from 1 species
CAGCAGCCGCGGUAAUACCGGCGGCCCGAGUGGCGGUCACUAUUAUUGGGCUUAAAGCGUCCGUAGCCGGGUUGGGAAGUCCUCCGGGAAAUCUGGCCGCUUAACGGUCAGAAUGCCGGAGGAUACUCCCAGCCUAGGGAGCGGGAGAGGCCGAGGGUAUUCCCGGGGUAGGGGUGAAAUCCUAUAAUCCCGGGAGGGCCACCUGUGGCGAAGGCGCUCGGCUGGAACGCGUCCGACGGUGAGGGACGAAGGCCAGGGGAGCAAACCGGAUUAGAUACCCGGGUAGUCCUGGCUGUAAACGAUGCGGACUUUGUGUCGGACAAGCUAUGAGCUUGUCCGGUGCCGGAGGGAAACCGUUAAGUCCGCCGCCUGGGGAGUACGGCCGCAAGGCUGAAACUUAAAGGAAUUGGCGGG